GGAGGAGACAAGAUCGAAGUUAGUUGAAGACAUGAUGUCAAUGAUGGGACACAUGUGUAUGCUUGAAAGAAGAGAUGACGAUUGGGCUGGCAGGUGGCGACACGUAGUUGCUAAAGCAGGGGACAUCACGAGACAAUUGCUGAAAGAAGAAGGACAACACGCGAUUUGAUGAAGGAAGUGAAAGUGCGAAAGUGCGAAAGUAGGUUGUUUUAUGGAGGAAAGGUGCAAUAGUUGUUGGGAGCACCUACAACUUUGGAGUAGGAGAAGGUGCAACAAAAGAAGAAGAGCACAACGUCAAACGCAAAGAGGCAAAGUCUAGAUCAGAGAUAAACUCGUAAUACCAUGUAAAAGAGAAAUAAUUUGAAUGUGUCUU
rnacentral:lncRNA from 1 species